CUUGGGUGGCGACCGGCGCACGGGUGAGUAACGCGUAUGCAACUUACCUAUCAGAGGGGGAUAGCCCGGCGAAAGUCGGAUUAAUACCCCAUGAAACAGGGGUCCCGCAUGGGAAUAUUUGUUAAAGAUUCAUCGCUGAUAGGUAGGCAUGCGUUCCAUUAGGCAGUUGGCGGGGUAACGGCCCACCAAACCGACGAUGGAUAGGGGUUCUGAGAGGAAGGUCCCCCACAUUGGUACUGAGACACGGACCAA
rnacentral:rRNA from 1 species